rnacentral:lncRNA from 1 species
GUCAUCUGAUAGAAGUGCUAUAAACUAGAAACAAAAGAUUAGAUUAGAUGGAAGCAAAUAUUAUCAUCAUUGCCCAAUCUUUUCUCACCAAAGAUAAGGACGGCUGUGAAGUGCGACCAUAAUUCGUGAAGGCUCUAUUGAUGUGUGACUCCAGUUAUCUUAGAAUUUGUUGCAAAUUCCUGGUCAUGAAACUUUAAGCACUAUAGACUCUCCCCAAACCUACAAGGUUGGCUGGUG